rnacentral:rRNA from 1 species
UACGUAGGGGGCAAGCGUUAUCCGGAUUUACUGGGUGUAAAGGGAGCGUAGGCGGCCAUGUAAGUCAGAAGUGAAAGCCCGGGGCUCAACCCCGGGACUGCUUUUGAGACUGUGUGGCUGGAGUGUCGGAGGGGUAAGUGGAAUUCCUAGUGUAGCGGUGAAAUGCGUAGAUAUUAGGAGGAACACCAGUGGCGAAGGCGGCUUACUGGACGAUCACUGACGCUGAGGCUCGAAAGCGUGGGGAGCAAACAGG